UGGAGAGUUUGAUCCUGGCUCAGGACGAACGCUGGCGGCGUGCCUAAUACAUGCAAGUCGAGCGGAUCUUGUCCUUCGGGAUAAGGUUAGCGGCGGACGGGUGAGUAACACGUGGGUAACCUGCCCAUAAGACUGGGAUAACAUUCGGAAACGAAUGCUAAUACCGGAUACGCGAAUUGGUCGCAUGGCCGAAUCGGGAAAGGCGGAGCAAUCUGCCACUUAUGGAUGGACCCGCGGCGCAUUAGCUAGUUGGUGGGGUAACGGCUCACCAAGGCGACGAUGCGUAGCCGACCUGAGAGGGUGAUCGGCCACACUGGGACUGAGACACGGCCCAGACUCCUACGGGAGGCAGCAGUAGGGAAUCUUCCGCAAUGGACGAAAGUCUGACGGAGCAACGCCGCGUGAGUGAUGAAGGUUUUCGGAUCGUAAAGCUCUGUUGCCAGGGAAGAACGCUURCGAGAGUAACUGCUCGUAAGGUGACGGUACCUGAGAAGAAAGCCCCGGCUAACUACGUGCCAGCAGCCGCGGUA
rnacentral:rRNA from 1 species